rnacentral:rRNA from 1 species
UACGGGGGGGGCAAGCGUUGUUCGGAAUUACUGGGCGUAAAGGGUUCGUAGGUGGCCCGCUAAGUCAGACGUGAAAUCCCUCAGCUCAACUGGGGAACUGCGUCUGAGACUGGCGGGCUUGAGUGCAGGAGAGGAACGCGGAAUUCCAGGUGUAGCGGUGAAAUGCGUAGAUAUCUGGAGGAACACCGGUGGCGAAGGCGGCGUUCUGGACUGUUACUGACACUGAGGAACGAAAGCCAGGGGAGCAAACGG